rnacentral:rRNA from 1 species
GCAGCCGCGGUAAUACGUAGGGGGCAAGCGUUAUCCGGAUUCAUUGGGCGUAAAGCGCUCGUAGGCGGUCCGUUAGGUCGGGAGUUAAAUCCGGGGGCUCAACCCCCGCCCGCUCCCGAUACCGGCGGACUUGAGUUUGGUAGGGGAAAGUGGAAUUCCCAGUGUAGCGGUGGAAUGCGCAGAUAUUGGGAAGAACACCAGUGGCGAAGGCGGCUUUCUGGGCCACAACUGACGCUGAGGAGCGAAAGCUAGGGGAGCGAACAGGAUUAGAUACCCC